CCUACGGGUGGCUGCAGUGAGGAAUAUUUGUCAAUGGGCUAACGCCUGAACCAGCCAAGUCGCGUGAGGGAAGACUGCCCUAUGGUUUUUAAACCUCUUUUGUCAGGGAGCAACGCCGGCUACGUGUAGCCGGACUGAGAGUACCUGACGAAAAAGCAUCGGCCAACUGCGUGCCAGAAGCCGCGGUAAUACGGAGGAUGCGAGCGUUAUCCGGAUUUAUUGGGGUUAAUGGGUGCGUAGGCGGAAUGCCAAGUCAGCGGUAAAAUCGCGGGGCUCAACCUCGCUCCCCCGGUGAAACUGGCGUUCUUGAGUGGGCGAGAAGUAUGCGGAAUGCGUGGUGUAGCGGUGAAAUGCAUAGAUAUCACGCAGAACUCCGAUUGCGAAGGCAGCAUACCGGCGCCCAACUGACGCUGAAGCACGAAAGCGUAGGUAUCGAACAGGAUUAGAUACCCUGGUAGUC
rnacentral:rRNA from 1 species